CAGAGCCAUCAAGGUUCAGUGGGAAGACCAAAGUCGGAGACUGAAAGAUAGAGCAGGAUACAGUGGAUGACCUUGACUUCCUCAACAUCUGUCCAAGCUCUAUGCAUUCCAUAUUACCCAAUCUUGCUGCUUUUGUGGCCAUUAGAACAAAUGAUUAUCACUGGCUCCUUCUGCUGGGAAACUGAUGCUUCAACCAAGGGAGAGGAUCAAUGAAGAAGUCAAAAGAAAAAAGCUAUUGCAAGGCAUUUCAUCAAAUCUCUUUGUAGAAUGUAUUCAUACUUGCUCUAAUAUCCUAUGCCUCUAAGCCUCUUGAACUGGAUAGAAAAUUUUAAAAUUGCAAUACAAUAUUGUG